ACGCAUUGCCGGGUAGCUAAGUGCGGAAGAGAUAAGUGCUGAAAGCAUCUAAGCACGAAACUUGCCAAGAGAUGAGUUCUCCCAAUCUAAGAGAUUGUAAGGGUUGUUGUAGACUACGACGUAGAUAGGUCUGGUGUGUAAGUGUAGUGAUACAUUGAGCUAACAGAUACUAAUUGCCCGAGAGGCUUAACUAUACAACGC
rnacentral:rRNA from 1 species